UACACUCCUACGGGAGGCAGCAGUGGGGAAUUUUGGACAAUGGGCGAAAGCCUGAUCCAGCAAUGCCGCGUGAGUGAAGAAGGCCUUCGGGUUGUAAAGCUCUUUUGUCAGGGAAGAAACGGUGAAAGCUAAUAUCUUUUGCUAAUGACGGUACCUGAAGAAUAAGCACCGGCUAACUACGUGCCAGCAGCCGCGGUAAUACGUAGGGUGCAAGCGUUAAUCGGAAUUACUGGGCGUAAAGCGUGCGCAGGCGGUUUUGUAAGUCUGAUGUGAAAUCCCGGGCUCAACCUGGGAAUUGCAUUGGAGACUGCAAGGCUAGAAUCUGGCAGAGGGGGGUAGAAUUCCACGUGUAGCAGUGAAAUGCGUAGAUAUGUGGAGGAACACCGAUGGCGAAGGCAGCCCCCUGGGUCAAGAUUGACGCUCAUGCACGAAAGCGUGGGGAGCAAACAGGAUUAGAAACCCGAGUAGUCCCAUGAU
rnacentral:rRNA from 1 species